rnacentral:rRNA from 1 species
CCAUCCUGGCUCAGAAUGAACGCUGGCGGCGUGCUUAACACAUGCAAGUCGCACGAGAACUCUUUAGCUUGCUAAAGAUAGUAAAGUGGCGCACGGGUGAGUAACGCGUGGGUAAUCUACCCUCGAAUUGGGGAUAACAUUGCGAAAGCGAUGCUAAUACCGGAUGACAUCCUUUUUCUUUGGGAAUUGGGAUCAAAGGUGGCCUCUUUUUGAAAGCUACUGUUUGGAGAUGAGCCCGCGUACCAUUAGCUUGUUGGUAGGGUAAUGGCCUACCAAGGCCGCGAUGGUUAGCUGGUCUGAGAGGAUGAUCAGCCACACUGGAACUGAUACAUGGUUCAGACUCCUACGGGAGGUAGCAGUGAGGAAUUUUGCGCAAUGGGGGAAACCCUGACGCAGCAACGCCGCGUGAGUGAUGAAGGCUUUCGGGUCGUAAAGCUCUGUCAAGUGGGAAGAAACUGAAAAAUGCCAAUACCAUUUUUCACUGACGGUACCACUGAAGGAAGCACCGGCUAACUCCGUGCCAGCAGCCGCGGUAAUACGGGGGGUGCAAGCGUUAUUCGGAUUUAUUGGGCGUAAAGGGCGCGUAGGCGGCCUUUUAAGUCAGAUGUGAAAGCCCGGGGCUUAACCCCGGAAGUGCAUUUGAAACUGAAGGGCUUGAGUAUGGGAGAGGGAAGUGGAAUUCCUGGUGUAGAGGUGAAAUUCGUAGAUAUCAGGAGGAACACCGGUGGCGAAGGCGACUUCCUGGACCAAUACUGACGCUGAGGCGCGAAGGCGUGGGGAGCAAACAGGAUUAGAUAUCCUGGUAGUCCACGCAGUAAACGUUGAUCACUAGGUGUAGCGGGUAUUGACCCCUGCUGUGUCGCAGUUAACGCACUAAGUGAUCCGCCUGGGGAGUACGAUCGCAAGGUUAAAACUCAAAGGAAUUGACGGGGGCCCGCACAAGCGGUGGAGCAUGUGGUUUAAUUCGACGCAACGCGAAGAACCUUACCUGGAUUUGACAUCCCGGGAAUUCUAUCGAAAGACUGAAGUGCCCUUCGGGGAACCCGGAGACAGGUGUUGCAUGGCUGUCGUCAGCUCGUGUUGUGAGAUGUUGGGUUAAGUCCCGCAACGAGCGCAACCCCUAUCUUUAGUUACCAUUAUUUGGUUGGGGAUUCUAGAGAUACUGCCCCGGUUAACGGGGAGGAAGGUGGGGAUGACGUCAAGUCCUCAUGGCCUUUAUGUCCAGGGCUACACACGUGCUACAAUGGGUUGUACAAAGGGUUGCGAGCCUGCGAAGGUAAGUC